UCUUCAUCAUCUUUAAAUAAAAAGGAUAAACAUGCAUUUCCAUUAUCUCAAGCAAACUUUCAAUACUGUGUGUUGCUUCUCUUAAAUGAGAUAAAAACCCAAGGAUGCAAAAAACUUUAUAUAAAAUAGUGUGAAGAAGAAGUAGUAACUGAAAUGAACAGCAUAAUAGAAUUUGAUAAGUUUGACUCAGCACUUGACAAUGUUUCAUCUAGUAACUCUGUAGUAUCUCUGCAGUUGUAAAUUGCUAAAUACUGAUUUGACAGUAUUUUUCUUUUUUUUUUAAUUUUCUUUACAAUAUAUAAUUUUUACUACUAAAUUAGGAAUUGUCAGAUUUCCAUUAUUUCUUUCUAUUAAAAACAAAGAGUUCAAAAUAUUGGUGGUAAGAACUGUCAAAAACUUGUGAUAGCUAUGAUGAAGAGUUUUAUGACAAAUUCACUCAUGGCCAAAUCUAAUAUGGCAGCUGGAAAAGGCAAAGGAUCUUUUUAGUCUAACCAAGCUAUACAACUUAAUAAAAGUUUGUGCAUCGACUUCUCACGAAUCAUACAGAGAGUCGAUUGUCGAUGCAAUAAUUACUGAUUCGUGAAAGCGGGCAACUUUUGCUUGUCUUAAAGUGCCUUAAAUCCAACAGAUAUCAUCGUUAUAAUAUUACUUUGUUUGUAAAUUGUUUUAAAAAAUAAAUUUAAAAAUAACUUUUAAA